rnacentral:rRNA from 1 species
GACGAACGCUGGCGGCGUGCCUAAUACAUGCAAGUCGAACGCAGUGGGGACGGGUGAGUAACACGUGGGUAACCUCCCAUCAGAGGGGAUAACACUUGGAAACUGGUGCUAAACCGAUAUUGAUGUAUGGACCCGCGGGGCAUUAGCUAGUUGUGGAGGGAACGGCUCACCAAGGCCACGAUGCAUAGCCGAGCGGAGAGGGGGAUCGGCCACAAGGGAACUGAGACACGGCACAGACUCCUACGGGAGGCAGCAGUAGGGAAUCUUCGGCAAUGGGCGAAAGUCUGACCCAGCAACGCCGCGUGGGUGAAGAAGGUUUUCGGGUCGUAAAGCUCUGUUGUUAGAGAAGCGGUAUCUAACCAGAAAGCCACGGCUAACUACGUGCCAGCAGCCGCGGUAAUAC